AUGGCAGCUUUCCAUGACAGCCCCGUCGGAGGACACGCUGGGUUUCCAGUGACUUACAAGCGUAUCCGCAGGUUAUUUGCUUGGCCCAAGAUGAAGACGCACAUUGAGCAAUAUGUCAAGUGUUGCCAGAUAUGUCAACAAGACAAAACGGAGAGAGUGGCAUCACCAGGGCUGCUGCAACCUCUUCCUGUUCCACAGGCUUCGUGGGAUAUGAUAACAAUGGACUUCAUCGAUGGAUUGCUGCAAUUAGGUCAGCACAACUGCAUCUGGGUUUUGGUCGACCGGAUGACCAAGUUCGCUCAUUUUCUGCCUCUUGCCCACCCGUACACCGCUUCCCGAGUGGCUCAACUGUUCAUG
rnacentral:rRNA from 1 species